rnacentral:lncRNA from 1 species
AAACAAAGAUAAAAUACAAGUUACGACAAAAAUGUUUCUAGAUAUUAACGUUAAAUGACCCAAGGGGACACUGUUGUUGUGCCUGGAUACCGAACCUAAGUAGCUAGUUAACGUUAACUAAUUGAAGCAGUCUUUUCUUGAAUACGCGUGUGUAGCCGCAUUAUUCGACUUAUGUCUAUUCGAUACAUCACUUUUCAUCAGCAGAACAUUAUUGUCGAAUUAAUGUCUAAAGGCCACGUAUCUAUACAUAGAACGUAGUUUUGUUACCCUCCAACAACUAGCUAGCUAGCUGCCUGGUUAGCGCGGUGGUCGGAUUUGUUUCAGUAGACUUUCCUCUUCCGCGCGCAGGUCGUUUCCUUUCUGCUGGUUGGGCAAUGCGGAGUCGACUACACGACUAUCAUUGGUCCAGAUCGAUGUCUGUCACUUACCAACUUUCUGUAGAUUGGCCAGAAUCGAUUGUUGUCGAUAAUGAUGUUCUCGGAAAAGAUCAACUCAACAUUAUCGAAUCUGUCAAAUAAUUGAAUAAAAAAUUAUCCAACGAGGAAUGUAACAUUUAGAAAAGUAGAACUAAUUGUCUAGACUAUGCAUAUUUUCCUAAUCUAACUAUUUUAUUUAGCCGUUUGGUUGCCUGGUAAUUGACACAAGUCCAAGCCAGAUAAAAACACGGAAGGCACAGUGUGUUUUUCAUUCAUUGAAUCAACCCAGGCAGUGAUCAAAUCGAGAUGCUCAAGUAACAUUUACAUGGAAACAAAGAGUAUGUGGGCUAUAACAUGUGGGCUAUAACACUUCGCUGCCCAUUGUGUAAGUUGGUGCCGGUGGUACUGUCAACAUGAAAUCCAGUGGUGCUGCUCUGUUCACAAGGAACAAUCCCUUUCCGCCAGACCCACCUCUGGGAAAAACACAUUUACAACCCCUCACGCACCAAGAAGCUUCCAAAGCAACAGAGGAAAACCACCCUGAACGAUGUUGGCCUUGCCCAGCUGUCCAGCCCUCCUCCUCUCCAGACACACUCACUGUGCCCAUCGGACCCGUGCUUCCUUGGGGCAGCCAACCACUUUGUCCUCUGUCCUCCUCCUGCCACUAGGCCCAGUCUAGUUUUUAAGAGUCCUGGCCCUCCACUGAUCUUGUGUCCUCCCCGGCCAACACUGCCACCUCCCCGAACACAGACACACUGACAUAGGACCCAACAUCGGGAAAGUCCCUGGUUUCCACUGGGGGAGGAGAGAAGGAAGAUUCAGUGUUGGCAAAGUAUGCUUAAUACUAUUUCUAGAAUUACAUAAUGGUAAUUUGUUUUAUUUGUGACGUGUCAUACAGC